rnacentral:rRNA from 1 species
ACGACCUCGGGAGCUGAACAGGUGCUGCAUGGCUGUCGUCAGCUCGUGUCGUGAGAUGUUCGGUUAAGUCCGCUAACGAGCGCAACCCUCGCUGUGUGUUACAAGUGUCACACGGAACUGCCGGUCAUAAACCGGAGGAAGGUGGGGAUGACGUCAAGUCAGCAUGGCCUUUAUAUCCUGGGCUACACACACGCUACAAUGGGAAGGGACAAUAGGUUGCGAAGCCGCGAGGCGGAGCCAAUCCAGCAAAACUUCCCUCAGUUCAGAUUGCAGGCUGCAACUCGCCUGCAUGAAGUUGGAGUUGCUAGUAAACGCAGGUCAGCCAUACUGCGUUGAAUACGUUCCCGGGGCUU